AGCCCUGAGAAAUUAUUCAGGGUGAAGCCUGCCCAAUGAGAAAUUUAAUGGCCGCGGUACUUUGACCGUGCUAAGGUAGCAUAAUCAAUUGACUUUUAAAUGGAGUCUGGAAUGAAAGGAAAAACGGGAUUUAGCUGUCUCAAGUAUUUUAUUAUGAAUUUACUAAUUAAGUGAAAAGGCUUAAUAAUGAUAAAAGACGAUAAGACCCUUAGAGUUUUAAUAUGUUUUCGUUGGGGCGACGUAGAGCCAGAUUUAACGCUCUGAAAUUAAUGUGACGAUUAUUUAUGAUUAGAUAAACUACCUGAGGGAUAACAGCACAAUCUUUUAUUAAGGUUUGUGACCUCGAUGUUGGACUAGGAAGCCUUUAGACUAGCCGUUUAAAUGGGGGAUUCUGUUCGAAUUUUUACUCCU
rnacentral:rRNA from 1 species